GAACAUACCUGGCAGGGGAGACACCAUGAUCAAGCAGGUGGUUUUCCCAGGGAGAGGCUCAUCCCUUCCACUCCGGGUGUACUGACCCCUGUGAUUUCCCCAAAUGCGGGAAACUCAACUGCAUAAUUUGUGGUGGGGGGGGGACUGCAAUUUAUUUUUUUUUU